UAAUAAAAUCAUGGUUUUAUUUUUAAUUAAUACAUACAUUUCAGUGACAGCAUUAGGAUAUAAGCAGUUUGAGACAUCAUAAAAGUGUAAACAGGUCUCUGCUCCUUUGUAUCUAUAUCAUAUUUGUAUUUAACAUGGCCUCUCUGGGCUUCCGUACUAUCCUGUCAUAUAAAUAAAAAAAUAAAAAUAAAAAAAACAACAACAAAACAAAAAAAAACGUUACCUUGUGUUUUGCCUGUUUAAAUAUAAUAGACAAAACUUUUUUUUAAAAAGGCACAUUGUACCACACAGUAUCAUGAAUUCUGCAUUUUAGGAUAUUAAUUAUUCAUUUGAAUGCAAAGCAUGGUUUGAACAAUGCUGGAAUGGUGUUGCAUUAACAGCACAGUGACGUUACAGCACUGCUCACACUGACAACAUUUGAAAUCAUUUGGCUAGCCUUAGGGAAGCUGGGGCAUUAUGAGGUGAUUUUACCUUUGCAUGAAUUACAACCCAUAUUUCCAGUGCUGUAAUGGCACGUCAUUUGAAAGGAGCUAGAACGACAGUACGGGCUUUCGUGGGCAAACUUUUUAAAGUGGCUUUAGGAUGGGAGUAACCAUAGCAAUGAAAUGUCCACCUUUGGCAAAUCCAUACGUUGACCUUUUUCCAGUGAGAUACAAAGUAUCAUUUCCCUCAUCUGUUACAAAGAUUGCGCGCGUGCCAUGAUGUCCGCCAUUGGUAUCCAAGUGCACAUGUCAACCUUUUAAAGUAACUAUUCCAGGCAGGAAUGAACCAUCAGCAAUAACAGCAACCAAAUCAAUAACAAAAAGGAUAAAACAAAGACAAAACUAGAAUAUUAGAGUGCAGAAGGGAGUCCAUUCAUUUUUUUCUAUGGGAGAAAUUUUCAACGACAUAUGCAGCAGGCAGUGCAACUAUUCAUUAAAUUAGGUUGUCAAUCAAACUACACCUAUAAUUUAUUUAAAGAAAAAAAAAUUAAUCCAUUAAUAGAGCAGUAAAUUCAGCAGUGUACUUAUGUGCUUAUUGAAGUAAGUAGGCUUUCAUUUUUAAACAAACCAAAGAGUUUACUACAGAUCCAGUGCAUGCACUCUUAUAACACACAGAGUGUGAGACGUCACUCGUAUAGUCUCGUGUGGGUCUGUGCAGGUAGCAGGCACACUCCUCUGGGUCUCAACAGUACUCUUUUAAAAACUCAAUAAAAAGAUCGAAAAAUGAUGGUGGGGGAAGGUAGAAAUCAUUUUAUAUAUAUGUCAUAUUUAGAAUUAAUAUUAACCCAAAUUUACUCAAAUCAGCUCAUAAUAUACAUUAUCUGUUAGGUGACAAUUGCCUUGUAAAUACCAAAUGUUUAACUUCUAAAUGUAAUCCCAAUCUUUGUAUUUAAAGUUACAGGAAAUAUAACACAUAGUUUUCGAACAUGUCAAGACAUACUCUUUAGUAUUAUUAAUCAUAAAUAUCACCAAUUGCUUUGUUUAUAUAAAAUGCAGGUAUAGUUACAGUAGCGGAGCUCCAAUUCGUUCCGUUAGCGUUUUAUUCUUCCUGGACAGGUCUUCUCUUCUGAAGUCCACAUUCUAGAGCAUUUUCUGAGCCUAACAAUGUGCAGAACUUCUAGGGCAGUAUAUUUGCUGAUUGCUACUUCUAUGAUGCGUCACAACAACCAGCUAAGACACUGCCAAAGAAACACUCACAGACAGCACGUACAUUUUCCUUUUUUCGUUUCUCCUCAUCCAACAAGCUGCUUCUGAAAGGGAAUAAAUACAGAGUACCUUCCAUCCCCAUCUGGCAACCAGGAUGUGAUUCAUAUUUACUUGUGGGUUGCAAGGCAAGACCGUUAAUGAGAGAUCACCGUCCAGUCAUAUUUCCUAAGGAAAAUCAAAAACAAUGAGGAAUGCAUAAAAUGUAUCUCUUCUAAAUCACUGCGGUUCUUUGAUGCAAUAUAAAGUAUGAGAUAAUUAGAACAAGUGGUGGAAUUGGCAAUUCAAAGAUAAAAUAUACUACUAAAAAGCACAAAUAACCAUAAAUAUCUUUAGUAACCAUAUGUUCAAGCUUUUACGGUUAACUGAAGGUCUUCUUCGGAGAAGAGCUGUCUACAUUGGAAGAUAAGUCUCAGACACUCUCAUUGGGCGAUUUGCGCUACAGAUCCUUUUAUGGAGUGAUGGCGCCAUUUGUGUUACUGUCUAUGAUACAGCUUUUGUCAGCUACAGGUAAACGGUCACGUCUUUAAAAUUACACCUUAGAAUAAAACAUUGAAAAUUAGACAUAACUUGUGUUCAC
rnacentral:lncRNA from 1 species